AUUGAACGCUGGCGGCAGGCUUAACACAUGCAAGUCGAACGGUAACAGGGGAAAGCUUGCUUUCUUGCUGACGAGUGGCGGACGGGUGAGUAAUGUUUGGGAAUCUGGCCUUAUGGAGGGGGAUAACGACGGGAAACUGUCGCUAAUACCGCAUAGUGUCGAGAGACGAAAGUGUGGGACCGCAAGGCCUCAUGCCAUAGGAUGAGCCCAAGUGGGAUUAGGUAGUUGGUGGGGUAAAGGCUUACCAAGCCGACGAUCUCUAGCUGGUCUGAGAGGAUGACCAGCCACACCGGGACUGAGACACGGCCCGGACUCCUACGGGAGGCAGCAGUGGGGAAUAUUGCGCAAUGGGGGCAACCCUGACGCAGCCAUGCCGCGUGAAUGAAGAAGGCCUUCGGGUUGUAAAGUUACUUUCGGUGACGAGGAAGGUAGUUGUGUUAAUAGCGCAGACAAAUUGACGUUAAUCACAGAAGAAGCACCGGCUAACUCCGUGCCAGCAGCCGCGGUAAUACGGAGGGUGCGAGCGUUAAUCGGAAUAACUGGGCGUAAAGGGCACGCAGGCGGCUAUUUAAGUGAGGUGUGAAAUCCCCGGGCUUAACCUGGGAAUUGCAUCUCAUACUGGGUAGCUAGAGUACUUUAGGGAGGGGUAGAAUUCCACGUGUAGCGGUGAAAUGCGUAGAGAUGUGGAGGAAUACCGAAGGCGAAGGCAGCCCCUUGGGAAAUGUACUGACGCUCAUGUGCGAAAGCGUGGGGAGCAAACAGGAUUAGAUACCCUGGUAGUCCACGCUGUAAACGCUGUCGAUUUGGGGAUUGGGCUUUAAGCUUGGUGCCCGUAGACUAACGUGAUAAAUCUACCGCCUGGGGAGAUACGCCGCAAAGUUAAAACUCAAAUGAAUUGACAGGGGCCCGCACAAGCCG
rnacentral:rRNA from 1 species